GCCAGUGUGGUGUACUGGUUUGGGUUUUAGAUGACAAAUCUGGAAACCAGGGUUCGAUUCCCAGCUCGGCCA